CGCUGCUGUACCUGUUUCCUGUAUGUUCCUCAUAAUCCUUUUUAUUCAUGGUGAUAUGCUUAAUAUGCAGUUUUGAGAUUUACUUCCAGGCAUUUCGUUCCUCGUGCCGCUGAUGUUACAGAAGUCCAUGGAUUGAGCGCAGCACACGAACUAGUAUACACGCGAUCCACCAAAGCCUGUAGAGUUCCUGUUCUUGGACGAGGUAUGCGUCGAAGACAGCCCUGCCCGAGUCCAUGGGGAGAUUGUGUUGGCAGAUCUUCACAUUCAGUCAACGAUCCUCCUGUCAGCAGAAGGAACUUCAGUUUCCAAUGCAGUUGUCUUCCAUUGCGACCCGUGGCAAGAAUAUCGAGCUGGUUCCUCCAGAUCCUACCUAUGUUCCCGAGAUCACCUUGAACUACUGGCCCCAUGGUCAAACACGUUGCCACCCUUGUGCUGCUUUGCUGACGGCAUCAACCAGGCAGAGAGGACAUUGCUGUUGCCUUUGCAAAAGGUUAUCGGCGUCUGUUUUUGAUUGCGGCUCACAGUAAUGAUCUCCAGCGCAGGUCGGUGCACAUCGCCUGCCCUGCCCAUGUUCCAGAGAUAACCUCGAGCAGUGAUGGCAGACUGGCCCUGGCCCCGUCGUUAGCGACCUGCAGACCGAAGAUGACUCCCCACGCCUGGCGCUAC